rnacentral:rRNA from 2 species
UACGGAGGGUCCAAGCGUUAUCCGGAAUCAUUGGGUUUAAAGGGUCCGUAGGCGGUUUAAUAAGUCAGUGGUGAAAGCCCAUCGCUCAACGAUGGAACGGCCAUUGAUACUGUUAAACUUGAAUUAUUAGGAAGUAACUAGAAUAUGUAGUGUAGCGGUGAAAUGCUUAGAGAUUACAUGGAAUACCAAUUGCGAAGGCAGGUUACUACUAAUAUAUUGACGCUGAUGGACGAAAGCGUGGGGAGCGAACAGG